rnacentral:lncRNA from 10 species
CCCAGGUGAACACCCACCACCUACACUCCUCCAGUGACGAUGAGGACGACCGGCUCAAGGAGUUCAACUUCCCUGAGGAGGCUGUGCUGCAGCAGGCCUUCAUGGACUUCCAGAUGCAGCGCAUGACCUCUGCCUUCAUUGACCACUUCGGCUUCAAUGAUGAGGAGUUUGGGGAGCAGGAGGAGAGUGUGAAGUGAGUGUCUCCUGCGCAGGGUCACAGCCCUGUCCUGCCUCUGCAGCAGCAGGCGCGCCUACUUGUAUCUGUCCCCUGCACGCACCUACAUGCCCUGUGGGCUCAGCCUGCAGCUGUGGCCCCUCCUGGGCACGCGUUGGCCGUGGCCUUGUGUGUGUGUCUGCAGCCUCGUGUGUCUGCCUCCUGUUACAUGAGUUCCAGCUCUGCAGUCUCUUCUCUCCGAGAGGCAGGCCAUGAGGGUGGGGCACAAACAUCUUCUGUGCUGGGGACACAGAGCGGGUCCCUCCCACUCCUGGAGCUAGCCUUAGGGGUUCCAGGCGGGAGGGGCUCAGGGUAGUGGGGACCAGCAGUCCUGGCGCAGGGACUGUGGGGCAGAGCUGCACCUCCAUGGAUGCCCUCUGGCUCAGGAGUCUGCCAGACAUGGGGGUCCAGUUUUCCCCUCCACAGGCCUCGGGGUAACAAAACUUUUUUUUUCCAAUUACCAAUUCUGCUUGUUUUGAUUUGUGGGUCAACCACAUCUUAAUAUCAGUCACCUCUGGGUGUUAUGAUCAUGAACUUUUCUGAGUUUCUUGCCACAAGCAUCUGUUGCUUCUGGAGUCAGAAAAAAGUGGCUGGGCGGAGUGGAUCACACCUGUGAUCCCAGUACUUUGGGAGGCCGAGGCAGGCAGAUCACCUGAGGUCAGGAGUUCGAGACUAGCCUGGCCAACAUGG